rnacentral:rRNA from 1 species
UACGUAGGCAGCAAGCGUUGUUCGGAAUUACUGGGCGUAAAGAGUGUGUAGGCGGUGCUCUAAGUUCGGUGAUGAAAUCUCCCGGCUCAACUGGGAGGGUGCGCCGAAAACUGGGGUGCUGGAGCGCGGGAGAGGAAAGCGGAAUUCCUGGUGUAGCGGUGAAAUGCGUAGAUAUCAGGAGGAACACCGGCGGUGUAGACGGCUUUCUGGACCGUAGCUGACGCUGAGACACGAAGCGUGGGUAGCAAACAGG